UAGGGAAUAUUAGUAAUGGGCGAAAGCCUGAACUAGCAACACCGCGUGUGCGAAGAAGGCCUUCGGGUUGUAAAGCACUUUUUGAGAGGAUGAGGAAGGGCGGUACUCUCAGAAUAAGUCUCGGCUAACUACGUGCCAGCAGCCGCGGUAGCACGUAGGAGGCAAACGUUAUCCGGAUUUACUGGGCGUAAAGCGCGUGUAGGUGGUUCUGUAAGUAGGGCGUGAAAGCUCCUGGCUCAACUGGGAGAGGCCGUUCUAAACUGCAGAGCUAGAGGAUGGUAGAGGGAGGUGGAAUUCCGGGUGUAGCGGUGGAAUGCGCAGAUAUCCGGAGGAACACCAGUGGCGAAAGCGGCCUCCUGGACCAUUCCUGACACUCAGACGCGAAAGCUAGGGUAGCAAACG
rnacentral:rRNA from 1 species